CUAGGUGAUUCUCUGUGGUCCUGUAAUAGGACCUGGACAUCACUACUAAGCUAGGUGAUUCUCUGUGGUCCUGUAAUAGGACCUGGACAUCACUACUAUGCUAGGUGAUUCUCUGUGGUCCUGUAAUAGGACCUGGACAUCACUACUAAGCUAGGUGAUUCUCUGUGGUCCUGUAAUAGGACCUGGACAUCACUACUAAGCUAGGUGAUUCUCUGUGGUCCUGUAAUAGGACCUGGACAUCACUACUAAGCUAGGUGAUUCUCUGUGGUCCUGUAAUAAGACCAGGACAUCACUACUAAGCUAGGUGAUUCUCUGUGGUCGUGUAAUAGGACCUGGACAUCACUACUAAGCUAGGUGAUUCUCUGUGGUCGUGUAAUAGGACCUGGACAUCACUACUAAGCUAGGUGA
rnacentral:lncRNA from 1 species